UACAGAGGGUGCAAGCGUUGUUCGGAAUUAUUGGGCGUAAAGCGCGCGUAGGCGGCCCUGUAAGUCCGUUGUGAAAGUCAAAGGCUCAACCUUUGAAAGCCGAUGGAUACUGCAGGGCUAGAGUCCGGAAGAGGCGAGUGGAAUUCCUGGUGUAGCGGUGGAAUGCGCAGAUAUCAGGAGGAACACCGGUGGCGAAGGCGGUUCUCUGGGCAUUACCUGACGCUGAGGAGCGAAAGUGUGGGGAGCGAACAGG
rnacentral:rRNA from 1 species